rnacentral:sRNA from 1 species
UCUUUAUGGAAAACAGCAUGAAAGAGGCGCAUGACCAGGUAAUACCUGGUCAUGCGCCUCUUUUGAAAGA